UUAAGCGACUAAGCGUACACGGUGGAUGCCCUGGCAGUCAGAGGCGAUGAAGGACGUGCUAAUCUGCGAUAAGCGUCGGUAAGGUGAUAUGAACCGUUAUAACCGGCGAUUUCCGAAUGGGGAAACCCAGUGUGAUUCGUCACACUAUCAUUAACUGAAUCCAUAGGUUAAUGAGGCGAACCGGGGGAACUGAAACAUCUAAGUACCCCGAGGAAAAGAAAUCAACCGAGAUUCCCCCAGUAGCGGCGAGCGAACGGGGAGCAGCCCAGAGCCUGAAUCAGUGUGUGUGUUAGUGGAAGCGUCUGGAAAGGCGCGCGAUACAGGGUGACAGCCCCGUACACAAAAAUGCACAUGCUGUGAGCUCGAUGAGUAGGGCGGGACACGUGGUAUCCUGUCUGAAUAUGGGGGGACCAUCCUCCAAGGCUAAAUACUCCUGACUGACCGAUAGUGAACCAGUACCGUGAGGGAAAGGCGAAAAGAACCCCGGCGAGGGGAGUGAAAAAGAACCUGAAACCGUGUACGUACAAGCAGUGGGAGCACGCUUAGGCGUGUGACUGCGUACCUUUUGUAUAAUGGGUCAGCGACUUAUAUUCUGUAGCAAGGUUAACCGAAUAGGGGAGCCGAAGGGAAACCGAGUCUUAACUGGGCGUUAAGUUGCAGGGUAUAGACCCGAAACCCGGUGAUCUAGCCAUGGGCAGGUUGAAGGUUGGGUAACACUAACUGGAGGACCGAACCGACUAAUGUUGAAAAAUUAGCGGAUGACUUGUGGCUGGGGGUGAAAGGCCAAUCAAACCGGGAGAUAGCUGGUUCUCCCCGAAAGCUAUUUAGGUAGCGCCUCGUGAAUUCAUCUCCGGGGGUAGAGCACUGUUUCGGCAAGGGGGUCAUCCCGACUUACCAACCCGAUGCAAACUACGAAUACCGGAGAAUGUUAUCACGGGAGACACACGGCGGGUGCUAACGUCCGUCGUGAAGAGGGAAACAACCCAGACCGCCAGCUAAGGUCCCAAAGUCAUGGUUAAGUGGGAAACGAUGUGGGAAGGCCCAGACAGCCAGGAUGUUGGCUUAGAAGCAGCCAUCAUUUAAAGAAAGCGUAAUAGCUCACUGGUCGAGUCGGCCUGCGCGGAAGAUGUAACGGGGCUAAACCAUGCACCGAAGCUGCGGCAGCGACGCUUAUGCGUUGUUGGGUAGGGGAGCGUUCUGUAAGCCUGCGAAGGUGUGUUGUGAGGCAUGCUGGAGGUAUCAGAAGUGCGAAUGCUGACAUAAGUAACGAUAAAGCGGGUGAAAAGCCCGCUCGCCGGAAGAUCAAGGGUUCCUGUCCAACGUUAAUCGGGGCAGGGUGAGUCGACCCCUAAGGCGAGGCCGAAAGGCGUAGUCGAUGGGAAACAGGUUAAUAUUCCUGUACUUGGUGUUACUGCGAAGGGGGGACGGAGAAGGCUAUGUUGGCCGGGCGACGGUUGUCCCGGUUUAAGCGUGUAGGCUGGUUUUCCAGGCAAAUCCGGAAAAUCAAGGCUGAGGCGUGAUGACGAGGCACUACGGUGCUGAAGCAACAAAUGCCCUGCUUCCAGGAAAAGCCUCUAAGCAUCAGGUAACAUCAAAUCGUACCCCAAACCGACACAGGUGGUCAGGUAGAGAAUACCAAGGCGCUUGAGAGAACUCGGGUGAAGGAACUAGGCAAAAUGGUGCCGUAACUUCGGGAGAAGGCACGCUGAUAUGUAGGUGAAGUCCCUCGCGGAUGGAGCUGAAAUCAGUCGAAGAUACCAGCUGGCUGCAACUGUUUAUUAAAAACACAGCACUGUGCAAACACGAAAGUGGACGUAUACGGUGUGACGCCUGCCCGGUGCCGGAAGGUUAAUUGAUGGGGUUAGCGCAAGCGAAGCUCUUGAUCGAAGCCCCGGUAAACGGCGGCCGUAACUAUAACGGUCCUAAGGUAGCGAAAUUCCUUGUCGGGUAAGUUCCGACCUGCACGAAUGGCGUAAUGAUGGCCAGGCUGUCUCCACCCGAGACUCAGUGAAAUUGAACUCGCUGUGAAGAUGCAGUGUACCCGCGGCAAGACGGAAAGACCCCGUGAACCUUUACUAUAGCUUGACACUGAACAUUGAGCCUUGAUGUGUAGGAUAGGUGGGAGGCUUUGAAGUGUGGACGCCAGUCUGCAUGGAGCCGACCUUGAAAUACCACCCUUUAAUGUUUGAUGUUCUAACGUUGACCCGUGAUCCGGGUUGCGGACAGUGUCUGGUGGGUAGUUUGACUGGGGCGGUCUCCUCCUAAAGAGUAACGGAGGAGCACGAAGGUUGGCUAAUCCUGGUCGGACAUCAGGAGGUUAGUGCAAUGGCAUAAGCCAGCUUGACUGCGAGCGUGACGGCGCGAGCAGGUGCGAAAGCAGGUCAUAGUGAUCCGGUGGUUCUGAAUGGAAGGGCCAUCGCUCAACGGAUAAAAGGUACUCCGGGGAUAACAGGCUGAUACCGCCCAAGAGUUCAUAUCGACGGCGGUGUUUGGCACCUCGAUGUCGGCUCAUCACAUCCUGGGGCUGAAGUAGGUCCCAAGGGUAUGGCUGUUCGCCAUUUAAAGUGGUACGCGAGCUGGGUUUAGAACGUCGUGAGACAGUUCGGUCCCUAUCUGCCGUGGGCGCUGGAGAACUGAGGGGGGCUGCUCCUAGUACGAGAGGACCGGAGUGGACGCAUCACUGGUGUUCGGGUUGUCAUGCCAAUGGCACUGCCCGGUAGCUAAAUGCGGAAGAGAUAAGUGCUGAAAGCAUCUAAGCACGAAACUUGCCCCGAGAUGAGUUCUCCCUGACUCCUUGAGAGUCCUGAAGGAACGUUGAAGACGACGACGUUGAUAGGCCGGGUGUGUAAGCGCAGCGAUGCGUUGAGCUAACCGGUACUAAUGAACCGUGAGGCUUAACCU
rnacentral:rRNA from 1 species